rnacentral:rRNA from 1 species
UAGGGAAUCUUCGGCAAUGGACGGAAGUCUGACCGAGCAACGCCGCGUGAGUGAAGAAGGUUUUCGGAUCGUAAAGCUCUGUUGUAAGAGAAGAACGAGUGUGAGAGUGGAAAGUUCACACUGUGACGGUAUCUUACCAGAAAGGGGCGGCUAACUACGUGCCGGCAGCCGCGGUAAUACGUAGGUCCCGAGCGUUGUCCGGAUUUAUUGGGCGUAAAGCGAGCGCAGGCGGUUAGAUAAGUCUGAAGUUAAAGGCUGUGGCUUAACCAUAGUACGCUUUGGAAACUGUUUAACUUGAGUGCAAGAGGGGAGAGUGGAAUUCCAUGUGUAGCGGUGAAAUGCGUAGAUAUAUGGAGGAACACCGGUGGCAAAAGCGGCUCUCUGGCUUGUAACUGACGCUGAGGCUCGAAAGCGUGGGGAGCAAACAGGAUUAGAUACCCUGGUAGUCCACGCCGUANCGAUGAGUGCUAGGUGUUAGACCCUUUCCGGGGUUUAGUGCCGCAGCUAACGCAUUAAGCACUCCGCCUGGGGAGUACGACCGCAAGGUUG